CCGCCUGGGGAUGAGCUCAUGUCCUAUCAGCUAGUUGGUGGGGUAACGGCCUACCAAGGCUACGACGGGUAGCCGGCCUGAGAGGGUGAACGGCCACACUGGAACUGAGACACGGUCCAGACUCCUACGGGAGGCAGCAGUGGGGAAUUUUGGGCAAUGGGGGAAACCCUGACCCAGCGACGCCGCGUGAGGGAAGACAGCCUUCGGGUUUUAAACCUCUUUUGUACGGGAAGAUAAUGACGGUACUGUACGAAUAAGUCCCGGCUAACUACGUGCCAGCAGCCGCGGUAAUACGUAGGUGGCGAGCGUUGUCCGGAUUUACUGGGCGUAAAGGGAGCGUAGGCGGAUUUUUAAGUGAGAUGUGAAAUACUCGGGCUUAACCUGAGUGCUGCAUUUCAAACUGGAAGUCUAGAGUGCAGGAGAGGAGAAGGGAAUUCCUAGUGUAGCGGUGAAAUGCGUAGAGAUUAGGAAGAACACCCAGUGGGCGAAGGCGCUUCUCUGGACUGUAACUGACGCUGAGGCUCGAAAGCGUGGGGAGCAAACAGGAUUACAUACCCCUGGUACUCCCCGCCGUAAACGAUGAAUACUAGGUGUAGGGGUGNUCAUGACCUCUGUGCCGCCGCUAACGCAUUAAGUAUUCCGCCUGGGGAGUACGGUCGCAAGAUUAAAACUCAAAGGAAUUGACGGGGGCCCGCACAAGCAGCGGAGCAUGUGGUUUAAUUCGAAGCAACGCGAAGAACCUUACCUAGACUUGACAUCUCCUGCAUUACUCUUAAUCGAGGAAGUCCCUUCGGGGACAGGAUGACAGGUGGUGCAUGGUUGUCGUCAGCUCGUGUCGUGAGAUGUUGGGUUAAGUCCCGCAACGAGCGCAACCCUUAUUGUUAGUUGCCAUCAUUAAGUUGGGCACUCUAGCGAGACUGCCCGGGUUAACCGGGAGGAAGGUGGGGAUGACGUCAAAUCAUCAUGGUCCUUAUGUCCAGGGCUACACACGUGCUACAAUGGUUGGUACAAAGAGGAGCUACGCAGUAAUGCCACGCAAAUCUCAUAAAGCCAAUCUCAGUUCGGAUUGAGGUCUGCAACUCGACCUCAUGAAGUCGGAAUCGCUAGUAAUCGUGCGUCAGAACAGCACGGUGAAUACGUUCCCGGGUCUUGUACUCACCGCCCGUCA
rnacentral:rRNA from 1 species